rnacentral:rRNA from 1 species
UGGGGAAUUUUGGACAAUGGGCGAAAGCCUGAUCCAGCAAUGCCGCGUGUGUGAAGAAGGCCUUCGGGUUGUAAAGCACUUUUGUCCGGAAAGAAAUCCUUGGCUCUAAUACAGUCGGGGGGAUGACGGUACCGGAAGAAUAAGCACCGGCUAACUACGUGCCAGCAGCCGCGGUAAUACGUAGGGUGCAAGCGUUAAUCGGAAUUACUGGGCGUAAAGCGUGCGCAGGCGGUUGCUAAGACCGAUGUGAAAUCCCGGGCUCAACCUGGGAACUGCAUUGGUGACUGGCAGGCUAGAGUAUGGCAGGAGGGGGUAGAAUUCCACGUGUAGCAGUGAAAUGCGUAGAGAUGUGGAGGAAUACCGAUGGCGAAGGCAGCCCCCUGGGCCAAAUACUGACGCUCAUGCACGAAAGCGUGGGGAGCAAACAGGAUUAGAUACCCUGGUAGUCCACGCCCUAAACGAUGUCAACUAGUUGUU